CCUACGGGAGGCAGCAGCAAGGAAUUUUCGUCAAUGGGGGAAACCCUGAACGAGCAACGCCGCGUGGGCGAAGAAGUCUUUCGGGAUGUAAAGCCCUUUUCCCUGUGAAACGGUAACAGGGGAAUAAGCAUCGGCUAACUACGUGCCAGCAGCCGCGGUAAUACGUAGGAUGCAAGCGUUGUCCGGAAUUAUUGGGCGUAAAGAGCGCGCAGGCGGUCACUCAAGUCAGAUGUGAAAUAUCCGGGCUUAACCCGGAGGGGCAUUUGAAACUGAGUAACUAGAGUACAGCAGAGGAUAGCGGAAUUCCCGGUGUAGUGGUGAAAUGCGUAGAUAUCGGGAGGAACACCAGUGGCGAAGGCGGCUAUCUGGGCUGAACUGACGCUGAGGCGCGAAGGCUAGGGGAGCAAACAGGAUUAGAUACCCUUGUAGUC
rnacentral:rRNA from 1 species